rnacentral:rRNA from 1 species
UACGUAGGUGGCGAGCGUUGUCCGGAUUUACUGGGUGUAAAGGGCGUGUAGGCGGGAAUGUAAGUCAGAUGUGAAAUCCCAUGGCUUAACUGUGGGGCUGCAUCUGAAACUACAUUUCUUGAGUGCUGGAGAGGAAAGCGGAAUUCCUAGUGUAGCGGUGAAAUGCGUAGAUAUUAGGAGGAACACCAGUGGCGAAGGCGGCUUUCUGGACAGUAACUGACGCUGAGGCGCGAAAGCGUGGGGAGCAAACAGG